rnacentral:rRNA from 1 species
UAGAGUUUGAUCCUGGCUCAGGACGAACGCUGGCGGCGCGCCUAACACAUGCAAGUCGAACGAGCGAGAGAGAGCUUGCUUUCUCGAGCGAGUGGCGAACGGGUGAGUAACGCGUGAGGAACCUGCCUCAAAGAGGGGGACAACAGUUGGAAACGACUGCUAAUACCGCAUAAGCCCACGACCCGGCAUCGGGUAGAGGGAAAAGGAGCAAUCCGCUUUGAGAUGGCCUCGCGUCCGAUUAGCUGGUUGGUGAGGUAACGGCCCACCAAGGCGACGAUCGGUAGCCGGACUGAGAGGUUGAACGGCCACAUUGGGACUGAGACACGGCCCAGACUCCUACGGGAGGCAGCAGUGGGGAAUAUUGCACAAUGGGGGAAACCCUGAUGCAGCGACGCCGCGUGGAGGAAGAAGGUCUUCGGAUUGUAAACUCCUGUUGUUGAGGAAGACAAUGACGGUACUCAACAAGGAAGUGACGGCUAACUACGUGCCAGCAGCCGCGGUAAAACGUAGGUCACAAGCGUUGUCCGGAAUUACUGGGUGUAAAGGGAGCGCAGGCGGGAGAACAAGUUGGAAGUGAAAUCCAUGGGCUCAACCCAUGAACUGCUUUCAAAACUGUUUUUCUUGAGUAGUGCAGAGGUAGGCGGAAUUCCCGGUGUAGCGGUGGAAUGCGUAGAUAUCGGGAGGAACACCAGUGGCGAAGGCGGCCUACUGGGCACCAACUGACGCUGAGGCUCGAAAGUGUGGGUAGCAAACAGGAUUAGAUACCCUGGUAGUCCACACCGUAAACGAUGAUUACUAGGUGUUGGAGGAUUGACCCCUUCAGUGCCGCAGUUAACACAAUAAGUAAUCCACCUGGGGAGUACGACCGCAAGGUUGAAACUCAAAGGAAUUGACGGAAGG